UCCUACCUACGGGGGGCAGCAGUGGGGAAUAUUGGGCAAUGGGCGAAAGCCUGAUGGAGCAACGCCACGUGGGUGAAGAAGGUCUUCGGAUCGUAAAACCCUGUUGUUAGAGAAGAAAGUGCGUGAGAGUAACUGUUCACGUUUCGACGGUAUCUAACCAGAAAGCCACGGCUAACUACGUGCCAGCAGCCGCGGUAAUACGUAGGUGGCAAGCGUUAUCCGGAUUUAUUGGGCGUAAAGGGAACGCAGGCGGUCUUUUAAGUCUGAUGUGAAAGCCUUCGGCUU
rnacentral:rRNA from 1 species